UUCCAAAGCAUGGGGAGCAAUUACAGU
rnacentral:piRNA from 1 species